GGGAGGGGCUAUUGGAGGAGAGGGAGGGGGGUUAGGACAGCAGCAGGAGCUCCUGGUAAUUGAAAAGCUGGCGCUUGGCUGGAACUCGGCUGCCGACUCCACCUUGUGACCUCUAAUUGAGAGCCCUCCCAUUGAUUUCUUGAGCGAGGGGGGAAGAAGAGAGGAGAGUGUACAGGUUGGCCGGCGGGGGGGACAGGUGGAUGAAGAAGAAGUGUGUUCAGCAGCAGGUUACUGAGAGAUUGAAUGCAUGUAUUAACACAAGACACCUUUUAUGCAACAAGGGUCUAGCUCUGGUCCAGGGCUUUGUGAUGCUGAGAUAUACAUUAACCUCCUGGACCGGAGCGAAGAGGAAACUAUCCUCUGUACUAUUAGAAGUAGGUCAUCAUCACUGAACUCGCCAUCACUCUUGACGCUGAGACACAAGCGUCCAAAUGGUGUAUGUAUAUUGUACCCGUAUUCAAUAGGACUUCCAUAGUCUCAACAGAUACUAGUAUCGCUGUCGACCGUCCAGACUUAGGAGCUGGUGUAGCCUUGGAAACCCGUAAGGGAUUAGUCCAUGUAAAGACUUCACACAAUGGAACUGCCUCACAACUGUGAACAGAGAACUGCUUCUCUAAUUGUUCCAACAUUGUCUUGGGAGGUUUUUUUUCCGACGGUGAGUAGCGUAGGAAGGAUGUUGCUAGUUUGGAGUUUCUUGAUUGCCAGAUUGGAGACGGUUGGAUCCUUCUCGUGUGAACAGACUGCGCCAACACGGAGGAAGCAGGCAGGGAUAACAUUUUGUUCAGUUACUGUGAUGGAUGUAUCGAUACAUAUGUAGACAUUCAUUUAAUAUGUUAUCUAUGUUAUAUGAAAAUAAAUGUUUGAUGCAUUUGUCAAAUUUUUAACGUUUUUUUUUUGUCACGUGCGCUAGUAUAGUGUAAUGCCUUUCUUGAAUGCUCUUUCUCAAUAACAAAGUCAAGUAGAACAACACAAGAAAUUGAAUUCAGAAGAACACGAGAAUGUAGGUAAGCUAUAUACAGGGUAAUUUCCAGUACCAUAUUAACAAUGCGCAGGGAUACUGUAGUGAUGGAGGUAGAUAUGUAUAGGGGGAAGGGAUUAGGGAUACUGUAGUGAUGGAGGUAGAUAUGUAUAGGGGGAAGGGGACAGGGAUACUGGAGUGAUGGAGGUAGAUAUGUAUAGGGGGAAGGAGACAGGGAUACUGGAGUGAUGGAGGUAGAUAUGUAUAGGGGACAGGGAUACUGUAGUGAUGGAGGUAGAUAUGUAUAGGGGACAGGGAUACUGGAGUGAUGGAGGUAGAUAUGUGUAGGGGGAAGG
rnacentral:lncRNA from 1 species